CAAUAGCGUAUAUUUAAGUUGCUGCAGUUAAAAAGCUCGUAGUUGGCUUUCGGGUGGGAAUGGCCGGUCCGCCGUUUCGGUGUGCACUUGCUACGCCCACCUUGCUGCCGGGGACGUGCUCUUGAGUUCACGCUCGGGACACGGAGUCGGCGAGGUUACUUUGAGUAAAUUAGAGUGUUCAAAGCAGGCCUACGCUCUGAAUACAUUAGCAUGGAAUAACACGAUAGGACUCUGGCCUAUCUUGUUGGUCUGUAGGACCGGAGUAAUGAUUAAGAGGGACAGUCGGGGGCAUUCGUAUUUCAUUGUCAGAGGUGAAAUUCUUGGAUUUAUGAAAGACGAACUACUGCGAAAGCAUUUGCCAAGGAUGUUUUCAUUAA
rnacentral:rRNA from 1 species